CCGCCGGUCACUUUGGCCACCCGGAGCUGGGACAGCUCGUUCUUCAGGUCAUCCAGCUGUUUGAGCAGCUCCUCCUUCUUCUUGCCCCGCAAAUCUCUUGCCUUGAUCUUGGCCUGAAGUCGGACGGAGAAAAGACGUCUGAAUUCCAGUCAAA